rnacentral:rRNA from 1 species
GACGAACGCUGGCGGCACGCUUAACACAUGCAAGUCGAACGAGAGAAGAGAAGCUUGCUUUUCUGAUCUAGUGGCGGACGGGUGAGUAACACGUGAGCAAUCUGCCUUUCAGGGGGGGAUACCGAUUGGAAACGAUCGUUAAUACCGCAUAACAUAAUUGAACCGCAUGAUUUGAUUAUCAAAGAUUUAUCGCUGAAAGAUGAGCUCGCGUCUGAUUAGCUAGUUGGUAAGGUAACGGCUUACCAAGGCGACGAUCAGUAGCCGGACUGAGAGGUUGAUCGGCCACAUUGGGACUGAGACACGGCCCAGACUCCUACGGGAGGCAGCAGUGGGGAAUAUUGCACAAUGGAGGAAACUCUGAUGCAGCGAUGCCGCGUGAGGGAAGAAGGUUUUAGGAUUGUAAACCUCUGUCUUCAGGGACGAAAAAAGACGGUACCUGAGGAGGAAGCUCCGGCUAACUACGUG